rnacentral:rRNA from 1 species
GUGAGGAAUAUUGGGCAAUGGAUGCAAGUCUGACCCAGCCAUCCCGCGUGCCGGAAGAAGGCCCUCAGGGUUGUAAACGGCUUUUGACGAUGAAGAAUCGACAGGAUGCGUCCUGUUUUGACGGUAGCCGUUGAAUAAGCACCGGCUAACUCCGUGCCAGCAGCCGCGGUAAUACGGAGGGUGCGAGCGUUGUCCGGAUUUAUUGGGUUUAAAGGGUGCGUAGGCUGGAAGGUCAGUCAGCGGUGAAAAGCUGUCGCUUAACGAUAGUCUUGCCGCAGAUACUUCCUUUCUUGGAUGAGGAGGAGGCCACUGGAACGGAUGGUGUAGCGGUGAAAUGCAUAGAUAUCAUCCAGAACACCGAUUGCGAAGGCAGGUGGCUGUACCUUAAUCGACGCUGAUGCACGAAAGCAUGGGGAGCAAACAGGAUUAGAAACCCUGGUAGUCC